rnacentral:rRNA from 2 species
CCCAGACAGCCAGGAUGUUGGCUUAGAAGCAGCCAUCAUUUAAAGAAAGCGUAAUAGCUCACUGGUCGAGUCGGCCUGCGCGGAAGAUGUAACGGGGCUAAACCAUGCACCGAAGCUGCGGCAGCGAACGUAUCACUUAAAGCGAUUCAGCGGGUUACGAUUGACGGAGCGAAGCGACGUCAAAGCGUAUACAAAGUCGAGUCGGUUUAAGGAUACGUUCGUUGGGUAGGGGAGCGUUCUGUAAGCCUGUGAAGGUGGCCUGUGAGGGUUGCUGGAGGUAUCAGAAGUGCGAAUGCUGACAUAAGUAACGAUAAAGCGGGUGAAAAGCCCGCUCGCCGGAAGACCAAGGGUUCCUGUCCAACGUUAAUCGGGGCAGGGUGAGUCGACCCCUAAGGCGAGGCCGAAAGGCGUAGUCGAUGGGAAACAGGUUAAUAUUCCUGUACUUGGUGUUACUGCGAAGGGGGGACGGAGAAGGCUAUGUUGGCCGGGCGACGGUUGUCCCGGUUUAAGCGUGUAGGUGUGUGUUCCAGGUAAAUCCGGUUCACUUUAACACUGAGGCGUGACGACGAGGCACUACGGUGCUGAAGCAACAAAUGCCCUGCUUCCAGGAAAAGCCUCUAAGCAUCAGGUAACAUCAAAUCGUACCCCAAACCGACACAGGUGGUCAGGUAGAGAAUACCAAGGCGCUUGA